AACGAACGCUGGCGGCAUGCCUAACACAUGCAAGUCGAACGAAGGCUUCGGCCUUAGUGGCGCACGGGUGCGUAACGCGUGGGAAUCUGCCCUUUGCUUCGGAAUAACAGUUAGAAAUGACUGCUAAUACCGGAUGAUGUCGCAAGACCAAAGAUUUAUCGGCAAAGGAUGAGCCCGCGUAGGAUUAGCUAGUUGGUGGGGUAAAGGCCUGCCAAGGCGACGAUCCUUAGCUGGUCUGAGAGGAUGAUCAGCCACACUGGGACUGAGACACGGCCCAGACUCCUACGGGAGGCAGCAGUGGGGAAUAUUGGACAAUGGGCGAAAGCCCGAUCCAGCAAUGCCGCGUGAGUGAUGAAGGCCUUAGGGUUGUAAAGCUCUUUUACCCGGGAUGAUAAUGACAGUACCGGGAGAAUAAGCUCCGGCUAACUCCGUG
rnacentral:rRNA from 1 species